GGAGAGCUGGCUCAGUGGUUAAGAGCACUGACUGCUCUUCCAGAGGUCCUGAGUUCAAUUCCCAGCAACCACA
rnacentral:tRNA from 1 species